rnacentral:rRNA from 1 species
CACGUAGGGAGCAAGCGUUGUCCGGAUUUAUUGGGCGUAAAGAGCUCGUAGGCUGUUCGAUAAGUCGGGGGUGAAACCUCCAGGCUCAACCUGGAGACGCCACCCGAUACUGUCAUGACUAGAGUCCGGUAGGGGAGCGUGGAAUUCCUGGUGUAGCGGUGAAAUGCGCAGAUAUCAGGAGGAACACCGGUGGCGAAGGCGGCUUGCUGGGCCAGUUCUGACGCUGAGGAGCGAAAGCGUGGGGAGCGAACAGG